rnacentral:tRNA from 1 species
GCCAGAGUAGCUCAGUGGUAGAGCAGCUGAUUCGUAAUCAGCAGGUCGGGAGUUCAAUCCUCCCCUCUGGCUCCA